rnacentral:rRNA from 1 species
CAGUCGAGCGGACCUUUUAAAAGCUUUGCUUUUGAAAGGUCAGCGGCGGACGGGUGAGUAACACGUGGGCAACCUGCCUGUAAGACUGGGAUAACUUCGGGAAACCGGAGCUAAUACCGGAUAAUAUAAGGAACCUCCUGGUUCUUUAUUGAAAGAUGGUUUCGGCUAUCACUUACAGAUGGGCCCGCGGCGCAUUAGCUAGUUGGUGAGGUAAUGGCUCACCAAGGCGACGAUGCGUAGCCGACCUGAGAGGGUGAUCGGCCACACUGGGACUGAGACACGGCCCAGACUCCUACGGGAGGCAGCAGUAGGGAAUCUUCCACAAUGGACGAAAGUCUGAUGGAGCAACGCCGCGUGAGCGAUGAAGGCCUUCGGGUCGUAAAGCUCUGUUGUUAGGGAAGAACAAGUGCGAGAGUAACUGCUCGCACCUUGACGGUACCUAACCAGAAAGCCACGGCUAACUACGUGCCAGCAGCCGCGGUAAUACGUAUGUGGCAAGCGUUGUCCGGAAUUAUUGGGCGUAAAGCGCGCGCAGGUGGUCCUUUAAGUCUGAUGUGAAAGCCCACGGCUCAACCG